UGGGGAAUUUUGGACAAUGGGCGAAAGCCUGAUCCAGCAAUGCCGCGUGUGUGAAGAAGGCCUUCGGGUUGUAAAGCACUUUUGUCCGGAAAGAAAUCCUUGGCUCUAAUACAGUCGGGGGAUGACGGUACCGGAAGAAUAAGCACCGGCUAACUACGUGCCAGCAGCCGCGGUAAUACGUAGGGUGCAAGCGUUAAUCGGAAUUACUGGGCGUAAAGCGUGCGCAGGCGGUUUGCUAAGACCGAUGUGAAAUCCCCGGGCUCAACCUGGGAACUGCAUUGGUGACUGGCAGGCUAGAGUAUGGCAGAGGGGGGUAGAAUUCCACGUGUAGCAGUGAAAUGCGUAGAGAUGUGGAGGAAUACCGAUGGCGAAGGCAGCCCCCUGGGCCAAUACUGACGCUCAUGCACGAAAGCGUGGGGAGCAAACAGGAUUAGAUACCCUGGUAGUCCACGCCCUAAACGAUGUCAACUAGCUGUUGGGGAUUCAUUUCCUUAGUAACGUAGCUAACGCGUGAGGUUGACCGCCUGGGGAGUACGGUCGCAAGAUUAAAACUCAAAGGAAUUGACGGGGUCAUAGCUGUUUCCU
rnacentral:rRNA from 1 species